GUUAAAAAGCUCGUAGUUGGAUUUCUGCGGGGGCGGGGCGGCCGGUUGCUUAUAGCAACUCGAGCUAGCACUUCCCCUGCAUCCUGCCGCGAACCGUGCUACCAUUAGUUUGGUGGCGCCGGGGAUCGGCUCGUUUACUUUGAGAAAAAUAGAGUGUUCAAAGCAGGCCACACGCCUUGAAUAAGUUAGCAUGGAAUAAUGAUAAAGGACUUCGGUUCUAUUUUGUUGGUGUUCGGGACUGAAGUAAUGAUUGAUAGGGACAGUUGGGGCGGUCCGUAUUCCAAAGCGAGAGGUGAAAUUCUUAGGCCUUCGGAAGACGAACAGCUGCGAAAGCGUUCCGCAAGGAUGUUCCCUUUGAUCAAGAACGAAAGUUGGGGGAUCGAAGACGAUCAGAUACCGUCGUAGUCUCAACUAUAAACUAUACCAGCUAGGGAUCGGCCAACGUUUAAUUACACCGACUUGGUCGGCACCUUAUGAGAAAUCAAAGCAUCUGGG
rnacentral:rRNA from 1 species